GACGAACGCUGGCGGCGUGCCUAAUACAUGCAAGUAGAACGCUGAAGGAGGAGCUUGCUCUUCUGGAUGAGUUGCGAACGGGUGAGUAACGCGUAGGUAACCUGCCUGGUAGCGGGGGAUAACUAUUGGAAACGAUAGCUAAUACCGCAUAACAGCAGAUGUUGCAUGACAUUUACUUAAAAGGUGCAAUUGCAUCACUACCAGAUGGACCUGCGUUGUAUUAGCUAGUUGGUGGGGUAACGGCUUACCAAGGCGACGAUACAUAGCCGACCUGAGAGGGUGAUCGGCCACACUGGGACUGAGACACGGCCCAGACUCCUACGGGAGGCAGCAGUAGGGAAUCUUCGGCAAUGGACGGAAGUCUGACCGAGCAACGCCGCGUGAGUGAAGAAGGUUUUCGGAUCGUAAAGCUCUGUUGUAAGAGAAGAACGAGUGUGAGAGUGGAAAGUUCACACUGUGACGGUAUCUUACCAGAAAGGGACGGCUAACUACGUG
rnacentral:rRNA from 1 species